rnacentral:rRNA from 1 species
CUACGGGUGGCAGCAGUGGGGAAUAUUGGACAAUGGGCGAAAGCCUGAUCCAGCCAUGCCGCGUGUGUGAAGAAGGCCUUCGGGUUGUAAAGCACUUUCAGUGGGGAAGAAAGCCUUGGGGCUAAUACCCUCGAGGAAGGACAUCACCCACAGAAGAAGCACCGGCUAACUCCGUGCCAGCAGCCGCGGUAAUACGGAGGGUGCGAGCGUUAAUCGGAAUUACUGGGCGUAAAGCGCGCGUAGGCGGUCUGAUAAGCCGGUUGUGAAAGCCCCGGGCUCAACCUGGGAACGGCAUCCGGAACGGUCAGGCUAGAGUGCAGGAGAGGAAGGUAGAAUUCCCGGUGUAGCGGUGAAAUGCGUAGAGAUCGGGAGGAAUACCAGUGGCGAAGGCGGCCUUCUGGACUGACACUGACGCUGAGGUGCGAAAGCGUGGGUAGCAAACAGGAUUAGAUACCCCAGUAGUC